rnacentral:rRNA from 1 species
UACGUAGGGUGCGAGCGUUAAUCGGAAUUACUGGGCGUAAAGCGUCCGUAGGCGGCUUGUUAAGUCUGAUGCGAAAGCCCUGGGCUUAACCUGGGAACGGCAUUGGAUACUGGCGAGCUAGAGUUCGGUAGAGGGUGGUGGAAUUCCCGGUGUAGCGGUGAAAUGCGUAGAGAUCGGGAGGAACACCGGUGGCGAAGGCGGCCACCUGGACCGAGACUGACGCUGAGGGACGAAAGCGUGGGGAGCAAACCGG